rnacentral:miRNA from 1 species
AUUCUAAUUUCUCCACGUCUUU